rnacentral:rRNA from 1 species
CCUACGGGAGGCAGCAGUGGGGGAUAUUGCACAAUGGGGGGAACCCUGAUGCAGCGACGCCGCGUGGGUGAAGGAGUAUUUCGGUAUGUAAAGCCCUAUCGGCAGGGAAGAAAUUGGACGGUACCUGACUAAGAAGCCCCGGCUAACUACGUGCCAGCAGCCGCGGUAAUACGUAGGGGGCAAGCGUUAUCCGGAUUCACUGGGUGUAAAGGGAGCGUAGACGGCCAUGCAAGCCAGGGGGGAAAGCCCGGGGCCCAACCCCGGGACUGCCCGUGGAACUGCAUGGCUGGAGUGCGGGAGGGGCAGGCGGAAUUCCUGGUGUAGCGGUGAAAUGCGUAGAUAUCAGGAGGAACACCGGCGGCGAAGGCGGCCUGCUGGACCGCGACUGACGUUGAGGCUCGAAAGCGUGGGGAGCGAACAGGAUUAGAUACCCGAGUAGUC